GACGAACGCUGGCGGCGUGCUUAACACAUGCAAGUCGAACGGAUUUGCUCUGCUUUUGUGGUGUGCUCGAGUGGCGAACUGGUUAGUAACACGUGAGUUACCUGCCCUUUACUUUGGGCUACCUUCAGGAAACUGGGUCUAAUACCGGUUAUGAUCUCCUGCUGCAUGGUUUGGGUUGUAAAGUUUCGGCGGUUGGGGAUGGUCUCGCGGAUUAUCAGCUUGUGGGUGGGGUAUUGGCUUACCAAGGCUUUGACGGGUAGCCGGCCUGAGAGGGUGACCGGCCAAAAUGGGACUGAGAGACGGCCCAGACGCCUACGGGAGGCAGCAGUGGAGAAUAUUGCACAAUGGGCGGAAGACUGAGCAGCAACGCCGCGUGCGGGAUGACGGCCGUCGGGUUGUAAACCGCAUUCGCCUGGGACGAAGAGUGAGUGACGGUAAUGGGUAAAGAAGCACCGGCUAACUACGUG
rnacentral:rRNA from 1 species